rnacentral:lncRNA from 7 species
AGAAAGUGAAAUCACCCCGGGCUGCCAGCCGCAUCCCCGAGAAGCUAUCACCACUCACAUUGCUAUUAGACAAAUGAAACCUUAAACCUCUCUCCUCUAAUGACCACUGAUUGCCCGGAGUGGUGAGGAAAGGAAAACAGAAGAAAGACGAUAAGCACAUCCUCGAAGGUAGCAUCCUCCUUCGCACAACUUCUUAAGUACGAGGCGGCAACGGGACAAGAGAUAAGGAAGGCGUCAGAACAGUUAGCCGCCCACCCAGAUCCGAACCAGAGAAGCAUCCCUCCGCGCUCCCGAAAUCCCCGCGCAGGGGCUGCCACUCGGCUGGGGCAGUGCACCGCAGGGAUGCGCCCGCGUUCCCAGGCGGAGCGCGAGUAACACUCUCUAGCUUGUUGCUUCCCCGUGUGAUCAAUUAAGUUACAGAUGCAGCACACAAUGCCGCGGAGUUACAACUUCUCUGCGGUAGAAGACGAGGACUCCGUGGGCACUGUAUGCAAAUGUGCAUGUAUGUGCUCUGCACAGGAAUAACUGCGCUUCCCUCUUUGUUUGCAUAAGUGAACAUCCGCCGUACGCACGUGCAGAGAAACAAGCAAACGCUUUUACUUUUAGCGUUACUAUGCGUUUAGAGACUACGUCUUACAUUUCUUCUCUCGCUUUUCUUCAUUAAGGCUAGAGACGGCACAGCAGCCAGCGCAGGCAGAUGCUGGGAAGGGAUGCUGGGCUGCUCUGCGUCCUCGCAGGGGGAAGGAAUCAACCUCUCGGUUCACGUCGGGGCACUUACCUGCUCACAGCUGGUAGCGCAUUUUGCGCCGUCUCUUUCAUUAAACACACAAAAGUAAAGCAACGC